rnacentral:antisense_RNA from 1 species
GGCUAGUGUCAGUGGAAGCUGGGGUGUCGGCGGGCGGCCGCGGCCGGGUCUAGCGGUGUCUGCGGAAGGAGGAGGAGGAGGAGGGCUGGCGAUGAGAACCAGCAGGAGGAAUCAAGGGCAAGAAGGGACCCAGAGGGGCAGGUGGCUGAGAUGCUGGUGUCCAGGUGACCCGAGGAAUCCUCUGGAGAUAGAGGCCCGCGCAUGCGCGUGCUCGAGCGCUGAAGCCCAUUGCCCGCAGGGCGCUGGACUGGCGCCCCGGCCGGCGAGGCUGUCUAGUCCAGGCUCCAGGCCCCGGCUCUGACCAGGCGCCACCGCCUCCCGGUGCAGCUGAAAGUCGACGAAGAGGGCGGGGCGAGGGCGGCUUGUGGACUUCCACACUUUUCCUCUCUUCGGGCCAGUCCGGGGAGAGGGUGGCUAGCUGUGGCGGCGGCCAAUUACGUGGCGGACCUGCGGGGCUAAGCUGGCACGUCACUUCCGACUAGUGGAGUUUUUAGCCUUUUAACAUUCAAGGAUUAGGUAAAAGUCUCGCAGUGAAAAACCCGAGGACCCUUACUGCAAGUGUCCUUUGCUCCCAGCUACUGAUACUGGAUUCCACUCGUGAUUCUCCCUUUCUUAGCGCAUUCAUGAUAUAGACAUCAGUCUCUGAGCUGGAAGAGGACAAAGGCAGCGGUCCUGUGAAUUCUAUGCUCUAGCUUGGGUUAAGGGAUUUGGAAUUGCACUUGUUCCAGAGAGCUCCCUCUUUGCCCACUAGCAGGGCAUUAGCUGGUGCUGAAGACAGUGGCUGCUUGGCGAGCCUGGAUCUCCAAGUGACCCCCUCAGCAACUCCUGAUGAACAGGACUGAAGCCAAUAUUAAAGCAAGUCAACCAAAGGUUCUCUGGUGUAGACAAGACAGCAAAAGGACAGACUACCUUGUGGAACCUAGCAUUGUUCUCCUUCUGCAGCACUAAGUAACGUUUGUGCUCCGUAAGAUCUUUGCAAACCACACACAAGAAUUGCUGGUCAUCCUGUCAAUAGAUGCUGCUCACAGAACCAAAUUUACUGUGCUGGAUUGUCAUUCAUGGGCUUGAGAGUAGGAGACUGGAGACCAAGGUGGCUAGAAUCCAGUUGGGCCUGACGUCUCCCUGUUGAAAAGGCUCCUUGUGGAACGAACAGCACAUGGCUCCCGUGGUGGAUCAGAUAGUGGCACAGCACCAAAUGAUGCAGGCCUGCCAGGGGCCAGGGCCACAGAAGAUGCUCCCAGGGUCCCCCGUGUACUCCAGACACACUACAGGCCACCUCUCCCAGCAGGUUCCCAGUCAUGGGCCCCAUUGUCAUGACUUUAAAGUACUGUGUGCAGAAAUGUAAUUGAGAUUCAAGUCAGGGCCUCUGCCCUUUUCCCUCCAGAAACAAAACCAAGAUAAUUUAUCCUGAACACACACGGUGAAAAAAGGAAGGGAAGGGGGAGAAAAAGUCCAGGUCUUACCUGGGAUUCUCUGUCUCCUGCAACAUGAAGGAUUUAGCCUGGGAGGAGGUGGUGAGAACUCUGGGAGAGAAAAAAGAAGGAAAGAAUAGUUUUACCCAUGCUGAAGUUAAACCUUCACCUAGAGAAGCAAAAACAAACCACACUUUUCCAUUUUGUGCCUCCCUUCCUAGAGUUUUAGCCAAAGGUGUAACUAAGUAAUUGGUUUUACCAGGGCAGUCACUCCUCCUAUCCCGAGUCUGUUUGACUUCCUCCCCAUCAUCCUCCUCACCUCUUUUCAGGCAGGGUGGGGAUAGCAGCAGGAGGAGAUUUUGGGAGCCUGGCAACUCCUGCAAGGACCGCAGGACAGCACCUCUGUGGGGAUGCGUGGUGCCCCAUCUGCCGCCCUUCUGAAGAAUGCACUGCCUUCACUUUACUGUGUUAGAGUCCAUCCAGACUGUUCUAUCCAAAGAAUAGUUUCUUUUUCCCCCACAGGCAAUCAGGAAAUGAUUCCUUUCCCGACUGCUUCUGUCUAGUGCCUGGGAAUCUUGAGUCAAUCCCUCAGUAAGUCAGUGACUAGGGGAAUCUCCCCUCUCUGAGCCUCCCAGUUCAUGUUGCUUAGGGAACCUGAUAUUUUCGUGAAACCUGCCUACACAUGGGCAGCCCAACAGCAGAGCAAAUGGUGGUGAACAAAGAAUUAUAGUUGUGCCAGCUUCCUGGUUGCCCAUGUGGACAAGUCAGCAGGAUCAGGACACGAGGAAGAGUAAAUGUGAGACAGUCACGUGACUUCUGCGAUAAACAGAUUUUUAAGCCCCGAAGUUUUGCUAAAAUUUUGGUGAAACCUGAACUUUCUUCGUUGCAUAUACUGGCACUAUCUGUACCAUCAUACAACUAUCUCACAUUAAAGCUAUUUUUCUUGAGCACUGAUGAGUAAGGUUGGUAUGUUUGAGUUCCUCAGAUCAACAAAAACCCAUUUUCCUAUAAGUCUUACAUUUAGUAUUUAAGGAACUAAAACAAAUACAUUUUGUGAAAUGGUUGACACUUCAUUGAUAAUGAUUUAUUGCUUGGAUUAAUAAAUUUUCCAAAAGUUGUCUUAUGU